ensembl:lncRNA
CAUCUCAGGUUGGACAGGAAUCCUUGUGUCAUCGGAAGGUUUGACCGCCUUGCUGACUCAUUGCAUGUGUUUGCAAAAGGUUCACAGGAAAGAUGUAGUGAGGUUGAGGUCUCUAUUACCAGGCUCUUUUCAGCAGGAGGAAGGUGGUUUUCGUGCCUGAUUUUUUGGAUGCCCUUUCAUGAUAUGAAACAGGCAUUCUUACUCAUAUGAAUACCAAAGAGUGCAAACCAGGGCAAGUAUACAGUGCUCUCCUCUUCCACAUGUUCUUGAAGUUCUGACGAAUGUGCUGGCUCCCUUGCGUGUUUGCUCUCCUUAGCCGCAGCUUGUGCUGUGAGCCGAUUUAUCUCUGUCUUUCUCCGCCCAUCUCUCAUGCCACUGCAGCGCUUGGCAAUGCCAGCCAGGGCAUCCAGGCCAGAAAUAGUUCUCUGGCUCCAGUCGGCAACUUGAGACGCCCAAGCGCGGUCCUGCCUGACCGCAAAAGCCAGGUUACUAAGCUGAGCUGCCUUGUGGGAAGAUUUUCCUACUUGUCCCUUGGCACUGAGCUUUUGUGUGCACAGUGGGUUAAGCUGCUGAGCUGAACUUGCUGACCAAAAGGACGGCGGUUCGAAUCCGGGGAACAAGGUGAGCUCCCACUGUUAGCCCUAGCUUCUGCCAAUCUAGCAGUUCGAAAACAUGCAAAUGCAAGUAGAUCAAUAGGUACCACUCUGGCGGGAAGGUAACUGUGCUCCAUGCAGUCAUGCCAGCCACAUGACCUUGGAUACGUCUACGGACAACGCCGGUUCUUUGGCUUAGAAAUUGAGAUGAACAUCAACCCCCAGAAUUGGACACGAGGGGAAAACCUUUAUCUUUUGCCUUUAUGUUUGUUUCAGCUGUUGUAACUUGCCUUGAAUCCCCAGCUGGAGAAAGCGUGGGGUGUGAAUUAUAAGUAUGAUUCUAAUGUCUAAGUCCCAGCAAUCCACCGAUUUAAGGUGGAACAACGAUGCCACUGCCUGUUUAUAGCCGCUGUCCUUUGGCUCUCAACUUCUGGCUUGCGCCUCUAGCCAAGAGCGGGGCGAAGGGCUUCUGUCUGGAAGGAGGGGCCAAACAGUUGCUCGGUUUUAGCAGCUGCUGUAUCUAUUUUCCCACUUAGGAGAUUAACACAUGAGGCUUGUAGCACAGAAACUCCCUACCCAUGAAUGGAAAUGCUCACAAUCACAAUGGCACAACCUCAAACCAGUGUCCAACUCCCAUUUUUAAGCAGCAGAAAGCACUUCCAAAGUGCGGUAGGUCAAAAGCACAAGUUUAGGACAGGGAGAUAUUUGGGGAGGUGUUUUUUGGGCAUCACUUCCACUUCCCGAUCCUCAAGCGGCCAGCCAUUCUGGUUGGAAAAUCAUCACUUCUGGGGGGACAAGGCAAGGCAAAGGAAAAUUUGGGGAUAAUAGAUUAGUUGGGUUGCUGUGAGUUUUCCGGGCUGUAUGGCUAUGUUCUAGAAGCAUUCUCUCCUGACAUUUCGCCCACAUCUAUGGCAGGCAUCCUCAGAGGUUGUGAGGUCUGUUGGAAACUAGGCAAGUGGGGUUUAUAUAUCUGUGGAGUGUCCAGUUUUAUAUAUCUGUAUCAACAACACAAUAGAUUAGUUAUUGGUUAGUAGACAAAUGUCUACUAUGCCACAAGGAGGGUUGAAUGUAUGAAGAGUUCUUUUACAAAAUUAUCAUUGCUACAACUAAGUCUCCAUCUCUAUUUCUUUAACACAUACUUCAUAAAAUACUGAAGGUUCUAACAAUUUUAAUUUUAAGUCAGUUGGUUGUAUCUUCUUAUGUCUUCUCGCCUUGUCUCCUGGUCUUCAUAUAUUAUUUUCCAGUUCUUCAAUGGAAAUUAAACUUAAUUUUUCAUAACACACUAUUUCACACUAGAUUUUUUCUUGGAUUAUUUAUUAUUAAUAUCUACCAAGAAAGUUCUACCUUUUGCCAUUUAGAUUGUUAGUAGGUUAGUGUUUAUAUCAUUUUAUCAUUAUCAUUCUGUGUGUGUGUGUGUGUGUUACAUCAAAUGUAAAUGUACAUUCCAUCUACAACUCUUGGGUUCAAAACUUCUUCUGACUUAACCAUAAAAGCUCAGUAUCAUAAUAUUCUUAUAGUCCAUUUUUAAGAACUUUCUCUGAUAGCUCCUGAAGGCCAGAUCUCUCUGCCUCUGGUGCUGCUAUAUUCUUCUGAAUGAAAGCCCUGAGUUGACAUCACCACCACCACCACCACCACCACCAUCAUCAUGGAUACUUCUGAAGGAAAACCUUGAGAUGACAUCAUCAUCAUCAACACCACAGAUUCUUCUGAAGGAAAGCACUAAGUUGACAUCAUCAUCAUCAUCCCAGAUUCUUCUGAAGGAAAGCCCUGAGACAUCACCACCACCACCAUCAUCAUUAUCACAGAUUCUUCUGAAUGAAACUCCCUGAGAUGACAUCACCAUCACCAUCAUCAUCAUCAUCAUCAUCAUCAUCAUCAUCAUCCCAGAUUCUUCUGAAGGAAAGCCCUGAGACAUCACCACCACCACCAUCAUCAUUAUCACAGAUUCUUCUGAAUGAAACUCCCUGAGAUGACAUCACCAUCAUCAUCAUCAUCAUCAUCAUCAUCCCAGAUUCUUCUGAAGGAAAGCCCUGAGACAUCAUCAUCACCACCACCACCAUCAUCAUUAUCACGGAUUAUUCUGAAUGAAAUUCACUGAGAUGACAUCACCACCAUCAUCAUCAUCAUGGAUUCUUUUGAAGGAAAACCUUGAGAUGAAAUCAUCAUCAUCAUCAUCAUCCCAGAUUCUUCUGAAGGAAAGCCCUGAGACAUCAUCACCACCAUCAUUAUUAUCAUGGAUUCUUCUGAAUGAAACUCCCUGAGAUGACAACACCACCACCAUCAUAUUCAUUUAUUUAUAUCCCGCAUUUUCUAAAAAAGAAACCCAAACUGUCUAAUGAUACUAAAACAAUCCAAUGUGCAAUUCAAAACCUAAACCAGAUAAACAUAAACAUAGAAUUAAGCACAUAAGUAUUUGGCUGAGAAGACUGAAAACUUUGUAAAACUACAACUCCUGUGAUUCUAUAGCAUUGAAUUGGGGCAGCAAAAGUGGUACCAAACUGAAUUAAUUCCACACCGUAGACACACCUUCUGUCUCCUUCUCUUCAACUGAGAACAAACCACUGUUGUACCUUGAACUAAAUUUGCAGCUAUUGAAAUUAGCUGAAGAGCAAAGGAGAUAUUGGGGGGAGGAGAGAGAAACCGGAACAUUGCAAAAGCUGGAAAAGUGGGACGGCAGAGAAUGAAUAUGUUGGUGCCAAAUCAGGACAGUUGGAGGGCAUGCAGGUGGCAGAUGGUGGAGCCUGUCGGGCGGAUGCCAGGAAGAUUAGAGAUAAGACACGAGCCAUUUCUCAAGCCGUUGGUUUGAAAAACCUCAGGGACAGCUCACAUGAGGCUUCCCUUGCAUCAUCCGUGCACAGCUGUGAAACAUGGAGCAGCUUUCUGAAAAAUCGUGCUAGAAGCACACAAAUGUACCGCAAACGCCAAUCCAAAUAGCUGUAAAAAAAUAACUCUUGCCA